rnacentral:rRNA from 1 species
UCCGGAUUAAUAUCCCAUAAUAAACGAAGUGGCAUCUACUUUGUUUUAGAAAGCUCCGGCGGUAAAGAUGGCCAUGCGCACGAUUAGCUAGUAGGUGAGGUAACGGCUCACCUAGGCUACGAUCGUUAGGGGGCCUGAGAGGGUUAUCCCCCACACUGGUACUGAGACACGGACCAGACUCCUACGGGAGGCAGCAGUGAGGAAUAUUGCGCAAUGGAGGCAACUCUGACGCAGCCAUGCCGCGUGCAGGAAGAAGGCGCUACGCGUUGUAAACUGCUUUUAACCGGGAAGAAACCCUCCGACGUGUCGGAGGUUGACGGUACCGGAGGAAUAAGCACCGGCUAACUUCGUG